UUCGAGACCAGGAAGUAGCAGCCCUGUCUACUUUUAACUGUAUUAAUUGCUGAUAAUGUGUUUUUCAACCCCAUGUGAGUCACGUAGCUUAUUAGUGUAGCAUGCGAAGUGUAGUGCGAAUAAAGUAGUUAUUUUAAGUCAAAAAAUUCACGAACUAGCAUAAACCCCGCCAACCUUUCAACUGCAGUCGCAUUUAUUGUGACGUCAUCCGUGCGCCGACUCUCCAGUCAGUUAAUGUUAGUCUCAUUGGAGUAUUGAAACACUUAAAGGGACCUGAGAAGUUCAAGUGUAAUGUAACAGUGGUAAGGACAACAACGAGAAAUACUGUACACAGCAGUGACACAUGAUGGGGACGAGAUGUGGUGUUGCUGACGACGGCAGUAUGUGACGCAUCAUCAUCCGAAGUUCCAUUGAAAUGAUUGACUGAAAAGUACGGCAAUUUGAGUUCUGCAAUCAUUCUCCUCUGGCUGCUGGAGCCUAUCCCAGCUGUCUUCGGGAUAGGCUUCGCGAGAGGCGGGGUACACCCUGGACUGGUGGCCAGCCAAUCACAGGGCACAUAUAGACAAACAACCAUUCACACUCACAUUCCUAACUAUGGACAAAAAGUUUGAAUGUGAUAAAAACACAUUUUCAGCA